UCGAGGUAUUGGGUUUCCACCUUGCACUGCACCCUGGGAGGUAAGCAUGGGACCCGUGGAGAUCAGACUGGGGCUGCUCACCAUCAGGGUUCAAGUUAGAAUUAGUCUUUUCAUGCAUACACGCUAGAGUUUUUGAAGCAUUUUCCCAUCAUCCGAGGUCUGUAGCCAGGCUUAUUUCGAUCAUCCCCAUGAAAUGGGGCUUAUUGAGGCUUGCUCGGUGCCACUCUGCCGGUGGAACUGGGGAUCCAACAGAGGUUUGCAGAGUUUAAGCCCAGCAUGCUUGCCAACGCCCUGCACAGACUGUCCUCAAACUGUGUGCAAGAGUGUAUGUGCACACGCCUGUGAACACGGUGUACCGAGGGAGGAGGUGACCCAGCCACCCCGGAACUGCUUUUCUGGUGGUCUAAAGUCACAUGUGGGCCUUGGAAACACACGGCGCUGGAGAGCCCAUGGAGGGCAAAGCAACUUGAAGACACUGCUUGGAAACUAAUCGGGGACAAAUGUGAACAAAAUGGGCUAUGUAGCAUGGGCCGUGCCUUCGGCUUAUAGAAAUUCCCCAGCUAUGGGUUGAAUUGGAGCUACAGCUGCCGGCCUAUACCACAGCCUCAGCAACAGCCAUAUCCGAGCUGCAU